rnacentral:rRNA from 1 species
GUGGCGAACGGGUGAGUAACACGUGAGCAACCUGCCCCUGACUCUGGGAUAAGCGCUGGAAACGGCGUCUAAUACUGGAUAUGUCCCAUCACCGCAUGGUGUGUGGGUGGAAAGAUUUUUCGGUUGGGGAUGGGCUCGCGGCCUAUCAGCUUGUUGGUGAGGUAAUGGCUCACCAAGGCGUCGACGGGUAGCCGGCCUGAGAGGGUGACCGGCCACACUGGGGACUGAGACACGGCCCAGACUCCUACGGGAGGCAGCAGUGGGGAAUAUUGCACAAUGGGCGGAAGCCUGAUGCAGCAACGCCGCGUGAGGGAUGACGGCCUUCGGGUUGUAAACCUCUUUUAGCAGGGAAGAAGCGAGAGUGACGGUACCUGCAGAAAAAGCACCGGCUAACUACGUGCCAGCAGCCGCGGUAAUACGUAGGGUGCAAGCGUUAUCCGGAAUUAUUGGGCGUAAAGAGCUCGUAGGCGGUCUGUCGCGUCUGCUGUGAAAUUCCGAGGCUCAACCUCGGGCUUGCAGUGGGUACGGGCAGACUAGAGUGCGGUAGGGGAGAUUGGAAUUCCUGGUGUAGCGGUGGAAUGCGCAGAUAUCAGGAGGAACACCGAUGGCGAAGGCAGAUCUCUGGGCCGUAACUGACGCUGAGGAGCGAAAGGGUGGGGAGCAAACAGGCUUAGAUACCCUGGUAGUCCACCCCGUAAACGUUGGGAACUAGUUGUGGGGUCCUUUCCACGGAUUCCGUGACGCAGCUAACGCAUUAAGUUCCCCGCCUGGGGAGUACGGCCGCAAGGCUAAAACUCAAAGGAAUUGACGGGGACCCGCACAAGCGGCGGAGCAUGCGGAUUAAUUCGAUGCAACGCGAAGAACCUUACCAAGGCUUGACAUACACGAGAACGGGCCAGAAAUGGUCAACUCUUUGGACACUCGUGAACAGGUGGUGCAUGGUUGUCGUCAGCUCGUGUCGUGAGAUGUUGGGUUAAGUCCCGCAACGAGCGCAACCCUCGUUCUAUGUUGCCAGCACGUAAUGGUGGGAACUCAUGGGAUACUGCCGGGGUCAACUCGGAGGAAGGUGGGGAUGACGUCAAAUCAUCAUGCCCCUUAUGUCUUGGGCUUCACGCAUGCUACAAUGGCCGGUACAAUGGGCUGCAAUACCGUGAGGUGGAGCGAAUCCCAAAAAGCCGGUCCCAGUUCGGAUUGAGGUCUGCAACUCGACCUCAUGAAGUCGGAGUCGCUAGUAAUCGCAGAUCAGCAACGCUGCGGUGAAUACGUUCCCGGGUCUUGUACACACCGCCCGUCAAGUCAUGAAAGUCGGUA